AAUGAACGCUAGAGGGGUGCUUAAUACAUGCGAGUCGAACGACAAAUUUAUUUUGUAGUGGCGUACGGGUGAGUAAUACACAAGAAUCUGCCUUUAAGAAGUUUUAAAUAAACUAUAUUCAAAGGGAUAAAUUCCGCUUAAAGAUGAGCUUGUGCAGGAUUAUGGUCGUUGGUAAGGUAAUGGCUUACCAAGCCGAGGAUCCUUAGCUGUUCUGAGAGGUUGAUCAGCCACACUGGGACUGAGACAAGGCCCAGGCUUUUAUAGAAGCCAGCAGUAGGGAAUUUUGGGCAAUGAGCGAAAGCUUGACCCAGCAACCCCUCAUGAAUGAGGACGGCACUUUUGUUGUAAAAUUCUAUGCUUAGCAAUGAUAAUGACAGUAGCUAAGUAAAUAAGCUCCGGCUAACUUCGUGCCAGCCGCCGCCGUAACAC
rnacentral:rRNA from 1 species